rnacentral:rRNA from 1 species
GGGGCUGAAGGGUGCGGCUAUAGAGUGCACGUCGAGCGCAUGGAUUAAGAGCUUGCUCUUAUGAAGUUAGCGGCGGACGGGUGAGUAACACGUGGGUAACCUGCCCAUAAGACUGGGAUAACUCCGGGAAACCGGGGCUAAUACCGGAUAAGAUUUUGAACUGCACGGUUCGAAAUUGAAAGGCGGCUUCGGCUGUCACUUAUGGAUGGACCCGCGUCGCAUUAGCUAGUUGGUGAGGUAACGGCUCACCAAGGCAACGAUGCGUAGCCGACCUGAGAGGGUGAUCGGCCACACUGGGACUGAGACACGGCCCAAACUCCUACGGGAGGCAGCAUUAGGGAAUCUUCCGCAAUGGACGAAAGUCUGACGGAGCAACGCCGCGUGAGUGAUGAAGGCUUUCGGGUCGUAAAACUCUGUUGUUAGGGAAGAACAAGUGCUAGUUGAAUAAGCUGGCACCUUGACGGUACCUAACCAGAAAGCCACGGCUAACUACGUGCCAGCAGCCGCGGUAAUACGUAGGUGGCAAGCGUUAUCCGGAAUUAUUGGGCGUAAAGCGCGCGCAGGUGGUUUCUUAAGUCUGAUGUGAAAGCCCACGGCUCAACCGUGGAGGGUCAUUGGAAACUGGGAGACUUGAGUGCAGAAGAGGAAAGUGGAAUUCCAUGUGUAGCGGUGAAAUGCGUAGAGAUAUGGAGGAACACCAGUGGCGAAGGCGACUUUCUGGUCUGUAACUGACACUGAGGCGCGAAAGCGUGGGGAGCAAACAGGAUUAGAUACCCUGGUAGUCCACGCCGUAACGAUGAGUGCUAAGUGUUAGAGGGUUUCCGCCCUUUAGUGCUGAAGUUAACGCAUAAGCACUCCGCCCGGGGAGUACGGCCGCAGGCUGAACUCAAGGAAUUGACGGGGCCCGCACAAGCGGUGGAGCAUGUGGGUUUAAUUCGAAGCAACGCGGAGAACCUUACCAGUCUUGACAUCCUCUGAAAACGCUAGAGAUAGUGCUUCU